UGAAAUGCAACGACGAGACGAGUAGGUAAAUCAAUUCUUAUCCAGAGAGCUCCGGUACGCUGAAAAGGAGUAAAGAGUUGUUUAUUGAAGAAAGACUCUGAGCAGCGCAUCGGAACCGGUCUGGCCGGGGAUGGUGUGACAGGAGCUCCUGUUAUAGAGCUAGAGUAUAAGCAUUCGAUUGCAAUGCCGUACUUGAAGAGGCUGAUAUGGCGACAUAUCCGCGAAUUUAGGGUGGUACCACGGGUAUUCAAAUCUCGUCCCUGAG
rnacentral:ncRNA from 1 species